CUACUUUUACUUAACUAUUAAUACGAAAGGACCAUAGUUAUAUAAUAAUUAUUUAUUUAUUGAUUAAUAUUAAUUAUUUUGGCAGAAAAGUGCCAUGAAUUUAGAAUUCAUAAAUAUAGGUUAAUCCUAUAGAUAGUAC
rnacentral:tRNA from 1 species